CAUGACACGAGCUGAGCUACAUCAGGGGUGUUCAAAGAUUUUUUUUUGCACCACAGACAUAAAAUGGUGCUUACUCGGUUUAUGACAGUAGUCAUGAACCACAUUUCCCGGUUACCAGUAACGCGCAAUGAACAGGUUUGCGAGCAGAUAAAUACAGGACAGGGUGUUCCAAAAAAAAAAAAGAGAGAGAGAGAGAAAGAGAGUUGAAUAACUAGGCAAUGACAUGUCCUAGGGCAGGCAAACCAAAUUACAUAAGCUUUGUGUUGGGAAAAAAAAAGUCGAUUUGUUCAUGAAUUUUUUCUGUGCUUCCCGCGAGUACAGUAGUUAAAAUAAGUAAAAGUCAAAAUAUUUUUUAAAAAAAACUGUUUCCGUCAAACUUUUCCCUUCAAUUGGCACUGUACUCGGGGCUGCUCAUUCUGGUGUGUGUGUCUUGGCCACGGGGGGAAAAUUUAAGGCAGACAUUCUAAUAUAUUAUUCUCGAGAGUCAGCUAAUUUUUCAGCUUCUCAGUACAGCAGUAAUAUUAGUUGUUCUCCACAGAGGAUAAAGAAUAUAUGCCUGUGAGUAAAGUUCUGUCUUUUAAUGUGCAUUGCACCAUUGUUUGUGUUCAGACAUCCGUUGCUAAAAGCAUCACAACACUGUCAUUCAUCCACUCAUCCAAAUGCUAAUUGUUAGCCUUGUUAGCCCGUAUGCCUAUGGUGUUUCCCGUUGUAUGUUAACAAGAAGCUAGCAGAGGGCUAUUUAGUUGUUUUAAGUAAACAUUAAACCCAGUUAGUUUUUACACAGUCUGUUAAAACUUGAGAUCAUUUCAGCAGCAUUUGGCUGUGUCAUUACGCUACAAAAUGUUGUCAACUUUGUGGGAACACUUUGGAUAUUAAAUGAUGCACGUAUUUGCUCGGCUUUGUGGGCAUACAGUCGUGAUAUUUCAACUUUUUAAUUUUUUUUCCAUGAUGGGGGAGGGACUCAAUGUGGCCUUAUUCCUCCUGUGUUUGGUUGUGAUAUGAUGUGUCAAUGAUUCGAUUGCCCUCCAGAUGUGCUUUCAUUUGAUUGUUUUUCAUCUAAAUUAGUGUUUCAUAGGUGCGUGUUAAAAAAAAGGUUUCGUGUGUCUCAAAGGACAAUGGUAACCAUAGAAACUGGUUUGAGUAGCCUGUUCUGUUGAAGUCGCUGACAAAAGAGCUCUUGAAGUCUCAGCCGGUACAACUAGUUUACCCAGUUUCACACACACACGCACGCACGCAAACUGUGACGUGACUGUGCGCGCACGCUUGUAGCACUUCUGAGAAAUACAUUGUUACCGAGUUUAAGUGAUUUUUCGCCAAUGAGACGUGACGGGUUACAAGGGCGUGCCUCGGGGAACGUUGACAACAAAUUAGAUGACGACAAUGAGGAAAUAACUUUUCUUUCGUGAGAAGCGACACGAUUUGUCAGGAGGUGGCAAAGUCAGACCUGCGGGUCACAAACGGGCGGCCGGGCAUUUAUGAAGCAAGUUUUUAGAUCGCAUUUUUUUCACCAACUGCCCAUUUAAAAACAAAACAUUUUCCUACGCCUGCCAUAGACAAUAGACAAACAUAUUUUUCAUAUUUUCACCCCCCCCCCCCCACUGGUCGAUCAAAACCGCCUCUGUGCAUACCGAAGUAAGCUGUUGCCACAAGGAGGUGAAUACAAUCAUGCAGUCGUUGAAGAGUGUCAGAUACUUAUUCAUAUCUGCUGCAAUUAUGAGGUUGCCACGGAGAUGCUGCUUUAAAUUUCAUCAAGCGAUGACAAGCAUUGUGCUGAGAAACACUUUUCAGACUUAACCACCGACAUAGAAACUAAAGGAAAAAAAUUGACUACUCCAUCUUUCGAGCUGAAAACACAUUUAAAAUUAGUAAAACACAUUUUUUUAAAGCAUGUCUUCGCACCAGUUUUUACUCUAUUGCUUUCCGGUGAUUAUCAUCUUACAUUACUUAGAGGGAACGUAAAGAAGACUGGCUCGCACAAUUCUCCAAAUAACUAUGAGUCAAACAGAGUUGAAGAAUUACACAACUAAAUGUUCAAGCCUACCAAACCACCGUCAAUCAUUCCGAAAGUCCAUUAGCUUAAUGCUAACAUAGAAUGCGAAACACCAUAAACGGGCUAAUCGAAAUUAGCCUCAAAGUUACGUUAACAUACAGAGCAUCACUUAUAAGCAGAGUAGACAGCAAUUUAUGAGUGAACCUGCUCUGCGUCUUCUUGCUCUUCGUCGUGCUGCCUCUCUUCCAGUAGAGCUUCGUAGCGUCCGGCAUAUUGUGGCGCAACGUGAUGCCACACAGAAGGCACAAACCGUUAAAUUCUGACUUCUCUGUAUUGUUAAAAAAAAAGAAACAAAA